UACGGGGGGGGCAAGCGUUGUUCGGAAUUACUGGGCGUAAAGCGCGCGUAGGCGGCUUUUCAAGUCGAUUGUGAAAUCCCCGGGCUUAACCUGGGAACUGCAGUCGAGACUGUCUAGCUAGAGUAUGGGAGAGGGAAGUGGAAUUUCAGGUGUAGCGGUGAAAUGCGUAGAUAUCUGAAGGAACAUCAGUGGCGAAAGCGACUUCCUGGACCAAUACUGACGCUCAUGUGCGAAAGCGUGGGGAGCAAACGGG
rnacentral:rRNA from 1 species